UACGUAGGGUGCGAGCGUUGUCCGGAAUUAUUGGGCGUAAAGAGCUUGUAGGCGGUUUGUCGCGUCUGCCGUGAAAUCCGGGGCUCAACCCCGGACUUGCGGUGGGUACGGGCAGACUAGAGUGUGGUAGGGGAGACUGGAAUUCCUGGUGUAGCGGUGAAAUGCGCAGAUAUCAGGAGGAACACCAGUGGCGAAGGCGGUGCUCUGGGCCGGAACUGACGCUGAGGAGCGAAAGCGUGGGAGCAAACAGG
rnacentral:rRNA from 1 species